UCUCAGCACCCUCACAUGGUCCUGUGAUAUUCACAUGUUAGUUCUGAUCCUUGGUGAUUGUUGAUAUCCAACAAGACAGGAGAAUCAUUCUCCUCCUACAAAGGUCUCAAAAAUCAUAUUUCUGUUGGCUCGACGGUGGAUAUCGUGCAUUCACCGUUGGAUAGUUUGUGUCCAAAAGUAACAUGUAACACUACAUUUCUACACAUAGUCUUGUUUUUGUGUAAUUAAAUCAAUCACAUCAAUAGUAUCGUGCAAGUUCUCAGUUGUUAAUAAACAAAAUCGAAUACAGCUUAAACUUUAUUGUUGAUGCACGGAGCAGCCAUGUUGGAAUUCAACACCGACUACUGACGUUGCUUCAAGCUUCCGAGGCGGAGAUCUGACUUCAAGGGGCAUUCCUGAAGUUCCUGAAUUUCUGAUUUCGGAGAUCAAAUGGAACGAACGAUACAGCCACGCGGUAUAGCGGGGAGAAGAGGCCUAUUAAACGGAGCUGCAGCCCGGACUAGUGGCGGGAGGGCUGUAUUACAGCUUAGAGACAUUAAACCAGCAUUGAGGGCCAACAUCAAUAACCAUUUACUGACUUGUAAUUCUGGUGCUCACUAGACAAGGGAGACAAUGAAGUACUAAGACACAUCAUUUAAACACACCUCGCAGUUUGAUCAGUUGUUGAUUUUUUUUUUUUUCUCUAAACAAAUUUAGUGAAGGUUUACACUUUCGGUGCUUUAAUUGAAUAUGACCCUAACCGUCAUUUCCCCCUCUCCUGCAGGUUUAAGACAGUCCACUGCCUCCUGUAUGCAGACACUGACUGGUGUCCAAAGCUCAAAGCUCGCCACAAACACUGAAAGCCUCUGAGUUCUUACCCUGCAGCACCGAGAGCAACUUUGUUCCUCCGCUGGCAGCGCACUGAUCAGCUGUUCGGGUCGGCAGCUUUGAAAAAGACAACACAUCGGGGCGCCGGUAGCCGAGCUGUUGUGCAUGGGCUCCAUGUGCAAAGGCUGGAGUCCUCACAGGUUGGCGGCCCGGGUUCGAGUCUGACUAUCUCUCUCUCCCUAUUUUUUGACUCUAUCCACUGUCCUGUCUCUCAAAUAAAGGCCCCAAAUUGAUCUAAAGAAAGAAAGAGACGACAAAUACAAACAAAAAUAAACGAGCAGUUUUGUUACCGUGCCGGUACUUCAUCAGGUUUCUCUAUCCCCUGUGGGUAAUAACCUUAAUGUAUCUUAUACAACCCCACUCCAAGAAAAACUGAACUAUCCUUUAAAAGAACUCUCAUUCAGAUGAAUUUAUUACAAAAUGAUCACAGAAGAGAUUGAAAGAAAUCCUCCGUUGAGAGUUUAUUUUAGUCUGUUGUCAUUUUUCGGAUGCCUUCACAUUUUGAGAUGAAGACCUUCUCCUUCUUUUACCUUGUUUUUUACAGGCUCAUCUGUCUGGUUUUGCACUACUUUGCUCGAUUCCUGUUUGUUACUGUGCUGGUGUAAAUAUGAUAAAAGGUCGUCAGGUCUUCUUUCUUUGUGUAGGUUUUAGUUUGAGCUCUACGUACCCGACUUUUUAAAGCAGAGCUGCUCUGUGGAGAGGUGAUGACUUUGUUGGAGCCGAAUACAUCAAAACAACAUUUUCUUUAUUCUGUUUUUUUUGGGAUAUUCAUGUCUUCCAUAAAAAAUAAAAAAGCUCUUAUAUAUUUUAUUGUUUAAAAAUGAGGAUAGUUCUUAUUUUGGCUCUAAUAAACUUUUUAUUCUGUUUCCACCAGCAUCAGUAUUUCUGUCUGUAAAGUAUUUGAGUUAAACUUCUGUCCCUGUCCCACACCAGACGAGAAUCCAAACCCCUGAGUCUGUCCCACUGCAGGCCAGUGGAGGAGACUGAGUGACAUGUUUUUUUUUUGUUUUUUUUUGCAAAUCAUCAACCACUGAUGUGUUAUUCUGUUGUUUUAUAAGAAUAAACUUUUUCUGCGUCCUUGAA